GAUGAACGCUAGCUACAGGCUUAACACAUGCAAGUCGCGGGGCAGCAUGAGGGUUGCUUGCAAUUCUUGAUGGCGACCGGCGUACGGGUGAGUAACGCGUAUCCAACCUGCCCAUCACUACGGGAUAACCCGUUGAAAGUCGGACUAAUACCCUAUAUGCUCACGAGAGGCACCUGCCUUGGUGAGGAAAGAUUUAUCACUGACAGAUGGACAUGCGUCCCAUUAGCUUGUUGGUAGGGUAACGGCCUACCAAGGCAACGAUGGGUAGGGGAACUGAGAGGUUUAUCCCCCACAUUGGUACUGAGACACGGCCCAA
rnacentral:rRNA from 1 species